rnacentral:lncRNA from 1 species
GUCGUGGUCACCGGUGGCAGCUCGGGAGCUCGGCCGAGUCGGUCUGGACUGACCGCCUCCCUCCGCGCGGCCUUGGGGACAGGCGCCCACCGCUGGGGCCUCCCCUCCGUGCAGGGAGGCGCUCACGCUUCGCCAGGCCGAGACCUGAAUCCAACCCCACACCCGCUCUCCCGGAGCGGUGCGGGGUACGUUCCCCGCGGGCCUGCGCUGCCUGCCCGUACCGAAACCAGGCGAGACCCCGGGGCCUGGCUACAGGGGUUCAUCCCCAGCCAGGCCCACAGCCAAGCGGAGGCGUCUUCUGUUUUCGUAUUCCCUAUUAGAAGUUUGACAACAGGAGGCAUUCAAUAAAUGCACAUCAACGAGGGAAAGCAUGUAACAAUAGAAAACACACAAGCAUUAGCAGCACGCGGCUAAAGAGCGAGGAGGAAGGGAGGAAUGUACAGGUGCUGCUGUGUCCCGAAUUAAGCAGGGCGGUUUGGAGAAGACUUCACAAAUGGAGCCAGUUAAUGAAGCAAGCGGAAGGAAUAUCGUUUGGCGAGGAUAAGAUGAAUGGAGACCCUCUCGGGGAAGGAGGAGUCUCCCCCAAACAUCCUUGAGCUCAGUCUGUCUUGAAAAACCAGUUGAUAUCCUGAACAGAAUGGGUCUGGAGAAUGAGGCCCCCACUUCCGGGGCCAGUUCGAGGACUAUCUAGCUGUGUGAUCUUGGGGAAGUCUCUUGGUCUCAGAUGGUGGUUGAACUAAUGACCUUUUAUGACACCCCCAGUUCUAUAAAUCAUUGAGUCUUCCUACUCCUAACUCCUUGCCUUCUCUAAUGCCUGAAUCGGAAACAAGAGAAAAAGACAAGAAGUAGGAGAUGAGAAAAAUAAGGCAAUACUUUUUUUUUUUUUUUUUUUAGUUUAGGAGCGGAAGUUUAUAGGCAAAAGAAAAGGGAGAACAGCUGUCUCUCUUGCGAGAGAGAGGAGUGACCGAAUGGGACUUCUCAGAAAGCAAUACUUUUAACCUUCUGCUCAAGUAAAAGUGAGAGGGUACAAAAGCAGGAAGGAGUUCCACAUGACUAGUUAUUCCAGCCCACAGUGUUGAAUUUCCAUAGCACAGAAAGUCCAAUGAUAACAAAGCGUCCUGGAAUCUUUUCUAAGUACCAUGCCUCUGUGCUGUCCAGACACCUCAACAUAAAGGUCGAGGGAGGUGGUUACUCUAUCAAAUCUUUGUGAUGUGAUUUGGAGAAAGAAGGUAAUGAAGCUAUAAGAAGCUUCAGUGGAACCAUCGGUUUCAGAUUGAUUGUUUAAUUCAGCCAUGUGUUGACUUAGCAAAAAUGAGAAUGAGAAAAUCCUAUGAAGACAUUGUAUCCUGCAAAUUAUUUCAUUAUUGUUUUAUGAAUUACAUUGCCAGAUGUGAAGAAAACAAUGCUGUUGUAACUGUUUUAAAACAAUUAAUUAGUUCAUUGAAACUUUUCCUGAUGUUUUAGAUCCAUGGUUCCAACCCUGGCUGCCUAUUAGAAUCACCUGGGGAAUUUUUCAAACAUAUCAAUGCUUGGACCUUAGACCAAUUAAAUCAGAAUUUAAUUGGGGUGGGGCUCUGGCAUCAGUUUGUUUAUUUUUUCUAAGCUCCCCAGAUGACUUUACUAUGCAGUCAGGCUUGAACACCACUAUUUUAAGUGAAAUUAAUUAGUAAAAUCUGCCUGACAGCAGCUUGGAAAAAAACAGCAGUCAGUCAUUAACUAAUGCCAUCAUAUGGGCUUGGUUACCUGUAAAUGCAGAGUUAACAAGCAAAGUCUUUAGGAGAGAGGAAAACAUGGAGGGGAGAUGCUUCUGUAAUUAUCUGACCCCAAUGCACACUGCUGUCUCCCUCAGGCUCCAAACACAUGCUGUGGGGUAGGCACAGCUCUAGCCUGGCUGAGCAGAGUGAAAAGAGCACAUAUUUUCUGUCCCUGGUAGAUGUCACAUCCCCAAUCUACUGCCACAGUUGCCUUGCCUUGUUUCUGCUAUGAACUUCCUGAACCUUGGCCACUGCAGCCUCUCCACUCCCUGGCUAGCCUAUCCUCGGCCUGUGGCUAACUUGCCAGCCUCAUCACCCUCUUCCAGCUUCCUAAUUCAAGGUCCUCCUGCCCCGAUGCCACCCAGGUUUUAAUGGAAAGUUCACGUGAUGCUGCUCUCCUUUUUAAACACAGAUGACCAUCAUACAUAUUAUAUAUCUUCUUUUACGUGUAUGGCAUAUAUAUGCUAAUUUAAGUAUAAUCACUAAGGAGUUUGGUUCUAGCCAGUUCUGUGUGAUUUUGGUCAGUUCACUCAAUCUCUUUUGAUCUCAGGGUCCUUAUUUAUGAAAAGAGAUGAUCACUAAGUGUUCCCUUCCAGUGCUGAAAUCAAUGUGAGGAAAUGUGUCCACGUAGUUAAACCUACACAAAUGAUGGUAAAUAAGCCAACUGUGAUUAUCGAUUUAGCCCUUCAAUAUCUCUGAGAUCUUUGGAUUAGAUUUUGGUAUCCUCUGGUGAGAUUUGACUUUAACAUCAUCUCCUGUCUUCUGUCUACUUGUCCAUAGUCUUGUUUGUUGUCUGUGAUAACUUUCUUCAGUCUUGUCUAUGAGAAAUCUCCCAAAAGAAGAGAUUUAUAUUUAUAUAAAUAUAUUCCC